rnacentral:rRNA from 1 species
UCCCCGCGCCGGUGAGAAUGCCCUUAACAUCAGCUUAGAUCAAGAGGAGCAGGCAUUAAGCACACUAAUUAGCAGCUCAAGAUGCCUUGCUUAACCACACCCCCAAGGGAAACAGCAGUGAUAGAAAUUUAGCAAUGAACGCAAGUUUGACUAAGUUAUGCUACUCUAGGGUUGGUAAAUUUCGUGCCAGCCACCGCGGUCAUACGAUUAACCCAAACUAAUAAAUUUCCGGCGUAAAGCGUGAUUAGUAUCUAAACAAAAAUAAAAUCAAAUAACAACUAAGCUGUAAAAAGUAAUAGUUGCAAACAAAAAUAAACGACGAAAGUGAUUUUAUAACCUUCGAACUCACGAUAGCUAAGACCCAAACUGGGAUUAGAUACCCCACUAUGCUUAGCCUUAAACUUAAAUAAUUCCAUAACAAAAUUACUCGCCAGAGAACUACAAGCCAGAGCUUAAAACUCAAAGGACUUGGCGGUGCUUUAUACCCACCUAGAGGAGCCUGUUCUAUAAUCGAUAAACCCCGAUAAACCUUACCACUCUUUGCCAACUCAGCCUAUAUACCGCCAUCUUCAGCGAACCCUAAAAAGGAACAAAAGUAAGCUCAAUUAUCUCCAUAAAAACGUUAGGUCAAGGUGUAGCCUAUAGAGUGGAAAGUAAUGGGCUACAUUUUCUUCUUCAGAACAUACGAAAGCCCUUAUGAAACCCUAAGGGCCAAAGGAGGAUUU